ACCAUCCCCAAAACAAACAAAAACUCAAAAACACUCCAAAAGAAAAGACUCCGAAAACCCCCCAAAAACCCAACACCAAAACCGAAACUCCUUCUCUCCUCUUCUUUCUUUCUUUUUCCCUUUUCUUUCUUUUUCCCCCCUUUUUUUUUCUUCUUCUUCUUCUUUUUCUCUUUCUUUCUUUCAAA
rnacentral:ribozyme from 13 species